GGGUCUUUACAUGUAGAUCCCUCGUCUUGGAGUAUUUGGUGAACUUGUGAUUUUUGGGAUGGGAUCGUGCAACUGGAAACCUCAUGGAAACAACAUGGAAACCUUCUUCUCUGCCGAAGGAAGAUUAAAACUAGGACCUGUUUAUCACUGAAAAGAAGUGCCCAUCUGAGGUUCUUCCUAUCAGCACAGGAGGCAGAGACAAGAUUUCUAAUGAACCAUUCAGUACAAGCACUUUGAAACUACCUAAUCACCAACAGAUUUCACCUGCAACAGACUUAGGUAAAUACUCAGAACUUUCCGGCUGGAGAUGCAUGUUAUGAAGAGCAUUAGGAGCUGCAGAAUGGGUACUGUAAAGUUUUUACAAACCAGUUUUUGAAAUGAGAUGCUUCUAGCUCAGGAGAGCAUUGAAGGCACAUUUAAAUCCUCCUGAAAACUCUAAGCCAGUGCUUAAGUGCUUUUUGAAAUCAUCGCUGGGACAUACUGAUGUGAUGAAUGAAUUAACCAAGGAGCAUAAUACCUCAUUGCCAACUGAGAGCAAAUCCUUGAAGUUCAGUGCUAUUCCACUUAAAAUAUUUCAGUUGGAUCUCAAACCAAGAUGUGCAGAAGAAUUGUUACCACUGAAGAAGCUGGAUUUUUUGUCAAGAAGGAGUCUCAUGAUUCCUUUGCUUCAGGGAAAUUUAAAUGAAGAAACGUUCAGUUUGGAGGUUUGCCUAUUCUACUUGGAAAAUGUUAAAAAAUGGGUUGAAGAAAACAAGAAGAGCCAGAAAAGACUGCAAAGGAAAAUUGCCAUAUUUUUAGUCAAGUUUAUAAAUUUUUCCCUGGGACUUUUUGACAAAUGACUGCUCACCAACUUUGUGAGAAUUUCUCCUGGACAUUGCUCAGAAACUUCUGGCAUUUUGCCAUGCAGGUUUGCCUGCUAGAAUUUCUCAAAUGUUUUUUUUUAUUUUUCAUGGGAGGAGGCUGUUUUCUCAAGGAGUGUUGGUGCCUUUUCCAUCCAGUCUCUCUCACUUUUCUUUUCCUAAGUACAGACUUGCUUACAUUCAGAUUAAUUUUGGGCAAGGUCAGGAGUAGUGAAAUGCCCAUAAGCAUAAUGCUGUUGCUGCUGUUUUCACAGGCCAUCUCUGAGAGCAGCUGAAGUUGCAUGUUUUUCUGGCUCUGUUGAGAAGUAAUUUGGAAUAGAGCUCCUUUGACUCAAGCAUUGAAGCCAGACCUAAAUGCUUGAGUGAGAUUUCCACACUAGCAUAAACUGAAGCACAUCCAAACAUCUGCUGCUCAACAUGCCUGAGAGUUAUCUUUCACCCUGCUGCCAGAUUCCUUGGUGCCACAUAUAGAUUUGUAGUCCACUCUGUGGAUUUCUUUUCCUUUUUCCUCUGCUGUGCUCUUCUGAUCAUCCUCUAAUGGACCUGAACCUCUGUCAAAUACAUCUCUUUGCCACUGUGGGCAAACCAUUUGUCUUGAAUGGUGUAUAUCUGCUUGUUUUUUCCCAGAGAACUCUCUUUCUGACUACUAAUACAUGGUUUCUGGUACUGGAGCAUGUGCAGGACAGCAAUGUUCUUGUAGACUGGAGCUCAUUAAGGAUAUUGGUUUGGGGUGAACUAUGGUAACUGGAUUGAACUGUUGCUCCCAGAUCCCUGUGUCUACAUGACUUUGUUCCAAGGAAUUGCUGAGACAACCAAGGAAAGAGUGUAGCUGCUCUAGGCUACCUUUUGCAGUUGAUGAGGUGAGCAGAACAUCAGAGAAUGGUCUGGGGGUGUCCUGUAGUGCUCUUAGCUGUUUUUGUUGACUCACCUCCUGAUGUGGCUGCCUUUGGUAGUUGCAGAGAUGUGCCUGGGAGGGAUGCAGACAGAUGAGGCAACAGGCAGAGUAGAGAGCUUCAGAUGAGUUAUUUGCAUCCAGACAAGGAAAGGGAAAAUAAAAGGACCUUGUGUCACAGUUCAGGGGCUGUCGGGGUUGUAUCAUACUGUCACUGUAGAGUUCAGUGGAUGACAGUUGUUUUGCUUUAAAAAUGGGAGAGUGAACAGUUUUAUUUAACUAAGAGUUAUGGAGAAGUCCAGUAUCCAUCUGACAACAAUCAUGGCAAGAGAAAAGGCUGUUUUUUGCUGCAUGAGCUGUAUGUGAUUAUAGUUCUCUUCUUCCUUUAUCUAUGCAGGUAGCAUACAUGUCAGCACGUAGCUCCAAAACCUACCAUCUUCAUGAGUUGUGUUUAUAGUUAUACACUUAUUAAAUGAUUGUGUGCACUCGUACUCAGACUAUUAUAAAUCCAUUACUUUCCUGAGGCCAUAGGAAAUGGUUUUAAAAUGUGAAGCUUUUCUGCAGGGAAUUGAGAGAGAGCAAUACUAAAGCAGUGUACUUGGUUCACACAGAUCAAUGUAGUGCAAUAACUGGGAUGAGAAACCAAGCUUAAAACAUUACCAAUGUGAUUGGAUGAAAGCUUAACAUGGCGUUGAGUAAUGUCUCAUUAUAAGUAAAAUCUCUUAAACCACCUUUGGGGGGGAAGACAAAGCAAACUGCUUAGUAGCAAAUCAUAAGAUAGAAAUGAUGGUGCUUGCACUUGAAACUGAACUCUGGGUAGUACAAGCACAGUAGCAGUGAAACAUCAAGUUUGGCUGCCUUAUUUUCAAAAUGAUGGUGGUGAUGUUAGCCCAAGUCUUGGGAUGGGAGAUAUCAGGAGGUUUUAGAUAUUUUUGAUCUUUCCAUGAGAACUUUCAUGAAGACAUUCUCUUCAUCACUAACUUAAUUUCUCUGUCUGGAAAAAAAGUUUUCCAAAACUGACAUCUUACUAUCUGAGAAGAGAAAACAACAUCAACAAUAACAAACAACCACAAAGAAAUCAAUAUUUCAGUUGAGAUUUAGAAUUAGUAAGUUAAGUUCCCACUGGGUUCAAACACUCAGGCACAAAUGUUACCCAACGUGCAUUGGAUUUACCUGUGUUUUUAAGACCACGGUUUAAUAGUUCAUCCCAGCACAGAAAGGCACACUGUACAGCUUAGUGUCGUCUUAGUUUUUUACGUGAAUUUAUAUUAAGCUGAAAAUAAAUAUAAAUGACAGGAAAUGUUUCCUCUUCUAAAGCUCUGAGCCACUUACAGGAAUAAUUUUGAGGGAAAGGAGAAGGGAGGGUUUAUAAUAUCUCAGACGUCUGUCAUUAUCUGGCUUGUACAGCUGGAAGCUCACUUGUGAUUAAGUCAGUAAAAUGAAGAUGGUCGUCACUGAAAUGGUGGCCAUUCAUUUGCCCAAUUUUAAGUUAAGAAAAUUAGCACUGAUUAGCAAUGGAUAGGAAAUUCCUGAAAAGAUCCUGUCUGGGGAAGUGGAUUACAUCUCCAUCCCAGGAAGGACAUUGAAGAAUGCAGUUUCUUUGAAAAGCAUAAAACUGUAUUUAAAAAAAAAAAAAAAAUAAUUCAAAGAAAUAAAAUAUCAUCCACUCAUCAGAUCUUCAGUCAGCUUUUCAGCACUCCAUUUAUUAUUAUUUGCCAUCUGGUGUAGCCCUUUAUCUCCCAAAGCAACAGGGAGUAUUCUUCUGGAGCAGGCACACAGCAGCGGCCGUCAUAUGCUAACCGCUUCUGACUGGCGAUCCUAGGGAGCCUGAUUGUUUGAGGCAAAUAAUCUCUCCAAGGACUGCAUGAUUUAUUCCCUGCAUUUGGGUUGCAAGGUUUUUGGAGAGGAAAAAAAAAUUCUUCCAUGUCAUUUACAAUGGACCUCACUCCAAUGAAUGAACAUCUUCUUGCAUAAUAGGAGUGCAGCUUAUCAAAUAAUAAAACCCUGCCACUCUAAAUUGCUGGGAACGGGAACAAUCCAGACGACGUUAAUUCCUAUGUCCACUUUGUCAUGCCAUGAAUUCUUCAGUGGUUUGUGUGUGUGUAGGACCAUGCCUGUCAGCAGGGAAGAGCUUUGAUGUGCUACAGGAAAGCUGCAGAGACAAGUGGGUGUGAUUUCUCAGUUUCUGCUCCUUAAUAUGUUAUCCAAUUUUAAGUGCUACCUAAUGUUCAUUAGGGACGAACAGAAAGCCAUAUGGCCUAACAAAUGUAAUACGUAGUUGAGCAUAUUGGCAGAAUGACUCCCUUACUUCUGUCUCCUAUUCCACUCUCUGCCUGGUGGAGAGAAUAGUGAGGAGGCUGGUUUCACAAUGUUGAGGAGAUGACAGACUUGAUAACUUUAGUAUGGAGUGUUUCCAGAGCUUAACAAUGAAUGGCACAAGCUUUUUAAGGGGAGAAAAAAUAUGCACAGAUUUUCAAACACGUCAGCAGGUUGCAAAGAAUGUGCUGAUUAGCCAUUUGUAUAUUUGACUAGGGACAGUUGGAACUUGGGAAAUCUCAGCUUAAUUUCUAUCACUGCAACAUUUUCCCUGUCUGACCUUGGCAUGCCAUUUUAUCUCUCCAUGUUUGGAUUUCCGUACUUUCUCCCUAGUAAGACGUGGUAUAUGUAUGCUUAAACAGAGGAUAAUGUUUCAAAUGAAUGUUUUCUUGGCCAUCUAGAGAUAGUGACUGCAGAUUAUCUGACAUGUUAGGGGAGCAUUGUGUCCAUCCCAUGGUGCUGGACAUGUCUGUCCUGGAGCCUGGCGUCCUCUCAUGGCAAUGUUUGCCCAGCAGCCCUCCUGCCCUCACAUCUUGCCUCCCAUCUCAAGCUGUGGUCUUGAACCUCUGAUGCAGUGUUUCUUUCUGUGAUCCAAAGUGAUGGAGUACCCACUUCCCACCUUUUGGAAAAUCUGACUUUAAGAUGUGCUGGUAAAUUUGAGGGUUUAUUUUCUUCAACACCUAUACAUUUUGCUGUUAUUUUCUCUAUAGCCAAAACAAGGCUGCAAAGAAUUUUGGGCAGCUUUUACUCUAUUGAAUCGACUGUGCUCAUCUGUAUUUUCAAGCCCAGGGUUUGAAUGUGUGCCCUCCAUAGCCACCAAAUGCCAGAAGGAGUGCACUUACACUGUUGCAUUCCCACAGCAGUAGCACGGAUCAGUAAAUUUGAGCAAAAGACCUAUUUGAAACAGAGCCCACAAAAAAAAAAAAAAAAAAAAAAAAAAAAAAAAAAAGACAUCAGCAACAGUAAACUACUCUUGCAAAUAACAGCAAUGAAGUCUUAAAGCAAAGGUUGUCUGUGUCUAUAUAGAGGCAAUACUUAGUGUCUGUGUGAUAUACAAGGCAGCUUAUCUCUUUGAGAGCAGGAGACUAUAAAAAUACAAUUGCCAGAACGAAAGAAAAUUGAAGCUGAUUGCCAUAGCAACAAAAGAAUUACAUUGAUGAAACAGAAGCACAUAAAAUCCUUGUAUGCUACAUUAAAGACAAAGCAAUCUAAAGUAAACAAGAGUGGAAUGGAAUUUGUUUGGCUGGAGCUGGAAGUGACAAAUCUAUCCAGCCGAUGGAGGAAGAAAUGAUCCCACACGCAGGGAAGGAGCAGUCCUUUGAGGGCAGGGGUUCACCCCUCAAUUUCUUUCAGGAGCAAGAGCUGAGGGACAUAAGACUGUGGGUGCAGGGGACUUCCCAAGCUCUGAAGACAGUGGAAGGAGAUUACCAAUCACGUGGUCAGUAACAUCCACCACCUCGCACCUGUCCUUUUGCACAGAUCUCCUGACUUUCUCCCUGAGUUUCCAAGGGAGAUUCCUCUCCCUUGAUGAAUUUCUCUCAGCUGGAUGAAACAAGCUGCUAAUGUGAAAAGGAGUUUUCUCUUUACAGCUGCUUUUCUUCAUAGAAUCAUGGAAUCGUUAAGAUUGGAAAGACCACUAAGGUCAUCCAGUCCAGCCAUCAUCCCAUCUGCAACACAACUCUACAUGAUGUCAUUCAGUGUGACAUCUCCUCUUUUCUUGAAAACCUCCAGGGAUGGUGACUCCACCACCUCACUGGGCAGCCUGUGCAGCACUGCACUUUUGCCCUUUCAAUCAAAGUGACAUGGUGAGAUUGCAGGCACUGCAGCAGAACCAACAGAUAAUGCACUGGUGAAACAACAACUUCAAGCCUAUACAGCCAUUCAGCAGUUUUCUAAUGUGAGAAGCUGGGGGGGUUGAAGGUCCAGAACUCAAUAGCUCACAUAGCAUCAAAACGGCAGUGGCAGAUUCAGCAUAGUCCUGCAUUACUUUGCUGGGCUCUGUGCCUCUGUUCAGGGAUGGAUCAUUGUGCACCUGCUGGGGACUCUUACCUGCUGGAUCAUACUCACGGGUUUUCGGUUAGAUGAAUUUGUCUAUGAUACACGCAACAGAAAACUGAGUUAUUGUUGUUGUAGUAUUAUGACAGAAGAAAAGGGAGCUCCUAUGUGAACCUCCAUGUACAAGAGAACAAGAACAGCUACCCUUGAUAUCUGGAGAAAGGACACGUAAUCCAGGUCAAAUCCAUUUGAAGACCCAAAAUACUGGGAUAUAUUAAACUCCUGGGAUUGUUGAUGUUUUGGCAUUUAGGAAACAUUAAUUCAGACUGAAAUCUUGCUCUCCAUCUGGUAAACAAAAGAUAUCCAUGCAGAUCUGAGCUCUCUGGUGCUCUCUGAAAACCUGGUGUUUAACAGAUAACUGCAUUGUGCAGCAGUUCCAGCUACUGCAUUGAGAUGGCCCUGAGUUAUGAAGAGAAAAAUGCAGAUAACAAUUCUCCUGGUUUGCACUGAAUUAAAGGUUUGUAGCAUCUUGCCAUGCGCACAUGGGCAGAAAAGUCAUCCCGGUCACCAUGGUAAUAAGAUAAUCAAACCACCCUUGAAUUUUUAGCUCUGGAUGAUGAACAGCAGAGACAGAAAGUGUCAGUGCAAAGGGAGAGUAAAAAAAGGGAUUGCGUGCAAGACAUCUGUGAAGGAGAGUGAAGUUGCAUCCACCAAGCAUGCACAGACUCUCAGCUGCUUCCCAAGACGACAAAAAACAGAUAAUUUUGGUAAGAAAUUUCUACCAAAGCAAGAGGGCAAUCUUAGAAGCUUCCCCCAUUGCAAAACAGGAUCACUCCUGUGCCUGCCAGAUGUGUGAAUUCCCACUCAGGGUGGCUGCUGUGGGAGACGUUUGCUUUCCCCACUGACUCUGCUCUCCAGGUAGAGCCCGGUUUUCUGCCACCAUUAUCCUCACCACUGCAGUUCCUUUUUUCCUCAUCUCUGCCACAAAUCUGUCCUGCAGCAGUGUAAACCCAUCACUUCCUGCUUAAUGUGGGUAUGGCAAAAGGACUGUUGUUCCCUGCUUCUUUAAAGGAAAACCACUGUUAUGACAUACCCCUUUAUCCUUUCUUCAGGCUAAAACCAGCUCAUCUGGUCUUUCCUCGGGGUCAGGUUGCUUAGACCUUUCCUUUCUCUUGUCAUUCUCAUUUAUUUAACUUGACUCACCAGAAAUGCAUCCUUUUUUUUCAGGAUUGCAGUAAAAGGAGGCCUAUGGUAUUUGUCUUUUGUACGUUGCACCUUCUGGCUCUCAUAGAUUUUUUUUUUUAUCUCCAUCAAACCAGGCUGUAAAAUCAGGGGGGCGAGGAGCAGGGGAGAAUUAACUGCUAUUCAGUUUUGUUGGGGUUGCAAAUUGGAUCCAUCCAUUUCUCUAAGCAGGAAAACAAAUAAAAUGCCAAUACUCUAGGGAGGACACAUAGCAAAACUAUGCAAUGAGAAAAUUUGUAAACCUAGUUUCUCUCUGUGGGUGGCUAAAUAGCUGUUUAAAGCCAUUUAGCAUCGCAUACGCAGUUGAAGAAACAGAAUAAUAGAAGAAAGAAAGCUGCAUCUUGCUAUUAAGUAAACCCGUUGUUUUUUCAGAUUUACUGGAUUGUUGAUUUAGGAUUUCAGGGCUGAACUUAUUUAGGGGAAAAGAGCUUCAUUUGGUCUUGUAAUUGCAUUAACAUGCACUCGUCAAUGCACACUAAAGCCAUUGCUGCAUGUCCACUGAAUUGCUACUCACCUUGGCUAGAGUCCAAACAGACUUUGGGCACUGUGGAGGCAAAUGGGUGCUGUUUUCACGGUUAGUGAUUAUAGGCAUUAGCAAGGCACAGCAGUAGGGACGUGGAGGGACAGAUGAUGGAAAGCUCAGGAAAUAGAGUCUGUUGCUGUCCUUCGUGCACAGCAACCUGAAGGGAUGGUGCAUGUGUUCCUGCUGCUUCUGUUCAGAGCUGGAGUUCUUUUUUAUUGUAAGCAUUCCUAAAUUUAAGUAACAGAUCUACUGUAGGUGUCUGCAAAUCCUGGAGGAGUCCUGGGGGUUUCUGGUUUUUUAAUACCUCGGGUAGGGGUAACACCAGGCCACAGCAAUAGAGGGACAAUUUACUCUACUGAACUCAUCCUGCCUUAAUUACUCUUUUCUACUAAAUCCCAGAUCAGCUGAAAACUGCAGUAAACUGCAGUGACAGCAGUGUGAGGAGACCUGCAUGCUCCUUAUCCUGUAACACUCAGACAAGAAGACUCUCCACACACUUUGGUACAAGCCACAGGUCCUGCAGGAAGAGGUAAACAGAAGUACAGCUGUGAUUUGUGUUCCAAGCAGCUGACAGAUGACCUACCAUGCAACUUUUCCUGCACAGAAGUCACAGUCUGCUUUGCAGCUGGAUAAAGUACAAGAAGCAGCUAUUUUUGCUUUAUUGAUGCCCUGUCCCAUCACGACAGGACAGAGAUCUGUACUUUCUGCAGUUGUUGUAACACAGCUCUUGCUGAAGUCUAGGUAAAUAAGUGCAGGACAGAGCACAUAAGACAUGGAACUGUUUUUUCUAGCCCACAGCACAGUUGUCUUUGAGUCUUUAUGCUGAUUUCAA